AUGCAAAUGUUGAAGAUAGGGUUUCUCAAAUUGGGACGAUACAACUUCUUCUUCAUCCUAACACUCAGCGGAGCGAUUCUUCUCUUCCAUCGCUGCUUCAACCGAUUUUUGUUCCCAUUUCCUCUGUCAUCUCUGCCACCUUCGUAUUUCUCCCUUCCCUGUCUCGAUCUCUAUUUCUGUCAGCACGUCACCGCGGCCACCACCGAUUUCCUCCACGAACGGCCACAUCUCGUCUUUAUCUCCCAUACCCAUCAUCGCUUGCGAGCCAUAACUCAUCUUUAUAGAUCUUAA